CCCAGAGCCCAGCACACAGUAGGUUCUCAGAAAGUGGCUCAGGGUGCUGACUCUGCCCUGUUGUGGGCUCUUGAAGACAGAUGCCCACUUCAGCUCAAGGCAUCCUUUGGCCCUCUGGCCUGGCUCAUGACCCACUCCAGCUUGAGGACCUCCCGGGGCUCCUCCCUACCCUGGGGAUAAAUUCCUGACUCCUUGACUGGACAUUUGAGUUCCACUAGUCAGUAGGCAAGGCACAGUCAGGGAACCGUCUGCCUUAUUCACUACUGGAUCUCAAUACAAGUUUGCUGCACAGAGGCCUCAACCUCCAGCCUCCUCUUCUUAAACUCACCCUUGCCUGCUGAACCAUCUCCGGGCACACUGCCUUGAUUGGGAAGGCCAACUGCUGUAACAAACACCCCUGAUCUCCGUGGCUCAACAUGAUAAAAGGACGUUUUUUGCUCAAAGUCCAGUGUGGCUGUUCCUACUUGAUAACUCUCUUGGGCAGUCCUGAUCAAGGCUCUCUACCCCCAUCUUGUGCUGCUCAUGUCUUCACCCUAGGCCUCCAAGGUUCCUGGGAAAGAGGAGAAUUCUCUUCCCUCUGACCCCUCAAGUCUCUGCCCAUCCCACAUCCCGGCACCCUCAAGUCUAAUGGCCACCUGUACUCCAUCCCAACCAGGCCAGAGUGUCACGGCCAUCAAUCCCACCUCCGACCUUUGCUUAAACUGUUGCCCCACCCAUCUGGGGACCCUCUAUGGCCAGCACAGCCUCUGUCCUCCAGGCGAGCCACCUGGUGCCUCAGUACACAGCACUGGUGUAGCCCGGUCUAAUCGCUGAGGGCUGUGGCCAUGGCACUGAGCUGCCAAGCUGGCCCCCAACAAUCUCACCUCCUGAUGUCCACACCCUUGUAUGGAGUGUGACCUAGACUUGGUGACUCACAUCUGAUCAAUAGAGUAAGGCAGAAUCCGUGACGUGUGACUCGGAGGCUAGAUCAGACAGGGCAGUGUGGCCUCUCUCUCUCUACUCGCUUGCUCUGGAAGGAGCCGUGUCAUUGGCAGCCCUAUGGAGAGGCCCACGUAGUGAGGGACGGAAGCCUCCUGCCAACAGCCACAUGGCUGAGCUUGGGAGGGGAUCGCCCCCCCCACCGCCACCCUCAAGUCUUCCAGGACUGCAGCCCUAGCCAACAGCUGGGCUGCAGCCUCGUGAGAAGCCUGAGCCAGAACCCCUCUGCAAAGACACUUGCAGACUCCUGACCCUCCAAAACGGCGAG
rnacentral:lncRNA from 1 species